GUAAGGACUGCAAGUAUGAAAGGAAG
rnacentral:piRNA from 1 species